UUUUAUGUUUAGUACCGCAUUUGGGCUGUGAGAUAAUGACACGACUUUUCUAUCUAAAUAUUAGUAUUAUUUUAAAUCUCUUUGCAGAUAAUAUUAAGAAAACAUAUAUUUCAAUAAAUUAAUAAUGGUUUUAUACUAUUUCGUAACAUAAGAGUGUUUUCAUUUUCACAAAAAAAAAAAAAAGAAAAAAGAACCAACUCAUGGUGAUUUUUGUUGUUGAAUGAUUUAUUGAUUCAUCAUUGUC
rnacentral:lncRNA from 1 species